GACGAACGCUGGCGGCGUGCCUAAUACAUGCAAGUAGAACGCUUAAGGAGGAGCUUGCUUCUCUGGAUGAGUUGCGAACGGGUGAGUAACGCGUAGGUAACCUGCCUGGUAGCGGGGGAUAACUAUUGGAAACGAUAGCUAAUACCGCAUAACAGUAGAUAUCGCAUGAUAUCUACUUGAAAGGUGCAAUUGCAUCACUACCAGAUGGACCUGCGUUGUAUUAUCUAGUUGGUGAGGUAACGGCUCACCAAGGCGACGAUACAUAGCCGACCUGAGAGGGUGGACGGCCACAAUGGGACUGGGACACGGCCCAGACUUCUACGGGAGGCAGCGGUAGGGAAUCAUCGGCAAUGGACGGAAGUCUGACCGAGCAACGCCGCGUGAGUGAAGAAGGGUUUCGGAUCGUAAAGCUCUGUUGUAAGGGAAGAACGAGUGUGAGAGUGGAAAGUUCACACUGUGACGGUAUCUUACCAGAAAGGGACGGCUAACUACGUG
rnacentral:rRNA from 1 species